rnacentral:rRNA from 1 species
GACGAACGCUGGCGGCGUGCCUAAUACAUGCAAGUCGAACGAAGCUUUUUUAACUGGUGCUUGCACCGACUGAAACAACUGAGUGGCGAACGGGUGAGUAACACGUGGGUAACCUGCACCAAAGCGGGGGAUAACAUUUGGAAACAGAUGCUAAUACCGACUUACUACAGAAACCACAUGGUUUCCGUUUCAAAAAUGGUUUCGUCUCAUCCUUUGGGAGGGAACCGCGGCGUAUUAGCUAGUUGGUAAGGUAAUGGCUUACCAAGGCAAUGAUACGUAGCCGAACUGAGAGGUUGAUCGGCCACAUUGGGACUGAGACACGGCCCAAACUCCUACGGGAGGCAGCAGUAGGGAAUCUUCCACAAUGGACGAAAGUCUGAUGGAGCAACGCCGCGUGAGUGAAGAAGGUUUUCGGAUCGUAAAACUCUGUUGUCAGAGAAGAACGUGUGCGAGAGUAACUGUUCGUGCAGUGACGGUAUCUGGCCAGAAAGCCACGGCUAACUACGUGCCAGCCGCCGCGGUAA